rnacentral:rRNA from 1 species
UACGUAGGGGGCGAGCGUUGUCCGGAUUUAUUGGGCGUAAAGAGCUCGUAGGCGGCUUGGCAAGUCGGGUGUGAAACCUCCAGCUCAACCUCGAGACGCCGAUGGAAACCCUCAGACUAGAGUCCGGAAGAGGAGAGUGGAAUUCCUGGUGUAGCGGUGAAAUGCGCAGAUAUCAGGAAGAACACCCGUGGCUAAGGCGGCUCUCUAGUACGGUACUGACGCUGAGACGCGAAAGCGUGGGGAGCGAACAGG